rnacentral:rRNA from 1 species
UUCCGGUUGAUCCUGCCAGACCUGACUGCUAUCGGAUUGAUACUAAGCCAUGCGAGUCAUUGUAGCAAUACAAGGCAUACGGCUCAGUAACGCGUAGUCAACCUAACCUAUGGACGGGAAUAACCUCGGGAAACUGAGAAUAAUUCCCGAUAGAACAUUAUACCUGGAAUGGUUUAUGUUCCAAAUGAUUUAUCGCCGUAGGAUGGGACUGCGGCCUAUCAGUUUGUUGGUGAGGUAAUGGCCCACCAAGACUAUUACAGGUACGGGCUCUGAGAGGAGUAGCCCGGAGAUGGGUACUGAGACACGGACCCAGGCCCUAUGGGGCGCAGCAGGCGAGAAAACUUUGCAAUGUGCGAAAGCACGACAAGGUUAAUCCGAGUGAUUUGUGCUAAACGAAUCUUUUGUUAGUCCUAGAAACACUAACGAAUAAGGGGUGGGCAAGUUCUGGUGUCAGCCGCCGCGGUAAAACCAGCACCUCAAGUGGUCAGGAUGAUUAUUGGGCCUAAAGCAUCCGUAGCCGGCUCUGUAAGUUUUCGGUUAAAUCUGUACGCUCAACGUACAGGCUGCCGGGAAUACUGCAAAGCUAGGGAGUGGGAGAAGUAGACGGUACUCGGUAGGAAGUGGUAAAAUGCUUUGAUCUAUCGAUGACCACCUGUGGCGAAGGCGGUCUACUAGAACACGUCCGACGGUGAGGGAUGAAAGCUGGGGGAGCAAACCGGAUUAGAUACCCGGGUAGUCCCAGCUGUAAACUAUGCAAACUCAGUGAUGCAUUGGCUUGUGGCCAAUGCAGUGCUGCAGGGAAGCCGUUAAGUUUGCCGCCUGGGAAGUACGUACGCAAGUAUGAAACUUAAAGGAAUUGGCGGGGGAGCACCACAAGGGGUGAAGCCUGCGGU